UUGGACAAUGGGCGCAAGCCUGAUCCAGCCAUGCCGCGUGAGUGAAGAAGGCCUUCGGGUUGUAAAGCUCUUUCGGACGGGAAGAAAUGGCGGGCUCUAACAUAGCCUGUCGAUGACGGUACCGUAGGAAGAAGCACCGGCUAACUACGUGCCAGCAGCCGCGGUAAUACGUAGGGUGCGAGCGUUAAUCGGAAUUAUUGGGUUUAAAGGGUGCGUAGGCGGACUAAUAAGUCAGUGGUGAAAGCCUGCAGCUUAACUGCAGAGUGGUCAUUUAUACUGUUAGUCUUGAGUAGAUUUGAGGUGGGUGGAAUGUGUCAUGUAGCGGUGAAAUGCUUAGAUAUGACACAGAACACCGAUUGCGAAGGCAGCUUGCUAAUCUGUAACCGACGCUGAGGCACGAAAGCGUG
rnacentral:rRNA from 1 species